AUUGAACGCUGGCGGCAUGCCUAACACAUGCAAGUCGAGCGGAUGAAGGGAGCUUUCUCCUGGAUUCAGCGGCGGACGGGUGAGUAAUGCCUAGGAAUCUGCCUGGUCUUUGGGGAUAACGUCCGUAAACGGGCGCUAAUACCGCAUACGUCCUUAGGUAGAAAGUGGUGGUUCUUCGGACCUCACGCUAUCAGAUGAGCCUAGGUCGGAUUAGCUAGUUGGUGGGGUAAAGGCCUACCAAGGCGACGAUCCGUAACUGGUCUGAGAGGAUGAUCAGUCACACUGGAACUGAGACCCGGUCCAGACUCCUACGGGAGGAAGAGGUGGGGAAUAUUGGACAAUGGGCGAAAGCCUGCUCCAGCCAUGCCGGGUGUGUGAAGAAGGUCUUCGGAUUGUAAAGCACUUUAAGUUGGGAGGAAGGACAGUAAGUUAACACCUUGCUGUUUUGACGUAACCAACAGAAUAAGCACCGGCUAACUUCGU
rnacentral:rRNA from 1 species